rnacentral:rRNA from 1 species
UACGGGGGGGGUAAGCGUUGUUCGGAAUUACUGGGCGUAAAGGGCUCGUAGGCGGCCAACUAAGUCAUACGUGAAAUCCCUCAGCUUAACUGGGGAACUGCGUGUGAUACUGGAUGGCUUGGAUUUGGGAGAGGGAUGCGGAAUUCCAGGUGUAGCGGUGAAAUGCGUAGAUAUCUGGAGGAAUACCAGCGGCGAAGGCGGCCUUCUGGACGGUGACUGACGCUGAGACGCGAAAGCGUGGGGAGCAAACAGG